rnacentral:rRNA from 1 species
UUAAGCGACUAAGCGUACACGGUGGAUGCCCUGGCAGUCAGAGGCGAUGAAGGACGUGCUAAUCUGCGAAAAGCGCCGGCGAGGUGAUAUGAACCUUUGACCCGGCGAUGUCCGAAUGGGGAAACCCAGUGUGAUUCGUCACACUAUCGUUAACUGAAUACAUAGGUUAACGAGGCGAACCGGGGGAACUGAAACAUCUAAGUACCCCGAGGAAAAGAAAUCAACCGAGAUUCCCCCAGUAGCGGCGAGCGAACGGGGAGCAGCCCAGAGUCUGAAUCAGCUUGUGUGUUAGUGGAACGGUCUGGAAAGUCCGACGGUACAGGGUGAUAGUCCCGUACACGAAAAUGCACAGGCUGUGAACUCGAAGAGUAGGGCGGGACACGUGGUAUCCUGUCUGAAUAUGGGGGGACCAUCCUCCAAGGCUAAAUACUCCUGACUGACCGAUAGUGAACCAGUACCGUGAGGGAAAGGCGAAAAGAACCCCGGCGAGGGGAGUGAAAAAGAACCUGAAACCGUGUACGUACAAGCAGUGGGAGCACCUUCGUGGUGUGACUGCGUACCUUUUGUAUAAUGGGUCAGCGACUUAUAUUCUGUAGCAAGGUUAACCGUAUAGGGGAGCCGAAGGGAAACCGAGUCUUAACUGGGCGUUAAGUUGCAGGGUAUAGACCCGAAACCCGGUGAUCUAGCCAUGGGCAGGUUGAAGGUUGGGUAACACUAACUGGAGGACCGAACCGACUAAUGUUGAAAAAUUAGCGGAUGACUUGUGGCUGGGGGUGAAAGGCCAAUCAAACCGGGAGAUAGCUGGUUCUCCCCGAAAGCUAUUUAGGUAGCGCCUCGUGAACUCAUCUUCGGGGGUAGAGCACUGUUUCGGCUAGGGGGCCAUCCCGGCUUACCAACCCGAUGCAAACUACGAAUACCGAAGAAUGUUAUCACGGGAGACACACGGCGGGUGCUAACGUCCGUCGUGAAGAGGGAAACAACCCAGACCGCCAGCUAAGGUCCCAAAGUCAUGGUUAAGUGGGAAACGAUGUGGGAAGGCCCAGACAGCCAGGAUGUUGGCUUAGAAGCAGCCAUCAUUUAAAGAAAGCGUAAUAGCUCACUGGUCGAGUCGGCCUGCGCGGAAGAUGUAACGGGGCUAAACCAUGCACCGAAGCUGCGGCAGCGACACUAUGUGUUGUUGGGUAGGGGAGCGUUCUGUAAGCCGUUGAAGGUGGCCUGUGAGGGCUGCUGGAGGUAUCAGAAGUGCGAAUGCUGACAUAAGUAACGAUAAAGCGGGUGAAAAGCCCGCUCGCCGGAAGACCAAGGGUUCCUGUCCAACGUUAAUCGGGGCAGGGUGAGUCGACCCCUAAGGCGAGGCCGAAAGGCGUAGUCGAUGGGAAACAGGUUAAUAUUCCUGUACUUGGUGUUACUGCGAAGGGGGGACGGAGAAGGCUAUGUUAGCCGGGCGACGGUUGUCCCGGUUUAAGCAUGUAGGCGGAACGAUUAGGUAAAUCCGGUCGUUUUUUAACGCUGAGGUGUGAUGACGAGGCACUACGGUGCUGAAGUAACAAAUGCCCUGCUUCCAGGAAAAGCCUCUAAGCAUCAGGUAACAUCAAAUCGUACCCCAAACCGACACAGGUGGUCAGGUAGAGAAUACCAAGGCGCUUGAGAGAACUCGGGUGAAGGAACUAGGCAAAAUGGUGCCGUAACUUCGGGAGAAGGCACGCUGAUAUGUAGGUGAAGCCCCUGCGGGUGGAGCUGAAAUCAGUCGAAGAUACCAGCUGGCUGCAACUGUUUAUUAAAAACACAGCACUGUGCAAACACGAAAGUGGACGUAUACGGUGUGACGCCUGCCCGGUGCCGGAAGGUUAAUUGAUGGGGUUAGCGGUAACGCGAAGCUCUUGAUCGAAGCCCCGGUAAACGGCGGCCGUAACUAUAACGGUCCUAAGGUAGCGAAAUUCCUUGUCGGGUAAGUUCCGACCUGCACGAAUGGCGUAAUGAUGGCCAGGCUGUCUCCACCCGAGACUCAGUGAAAUUGAACUCGCUGUGAAGAUGCAGUGUACCCGCGGCAAGACGGAAAGACCCCGUGAACCUUUACUAUAGCUUGACACUGAACACUGGUCCUUGAUGUGUAGGAUAGGUGGGAGGCUUUGAAGUGUGGACGCCAGUCUGCAUGGAGCCGUCCUUGAAAUACCACCCUUUAAUGGCUGGUGUUCUAACGUAGACCCGUAAUCCGGGUUGCGGACAGUGUCUGGUGGGUAGUUUGACUGGGGCGGUCUCCUCCCAAAGAGUAACGGAGGAGCACGAAGGUUAGCUAAUCCUGGUCGGACAUCAGGAGGUUAGUGCAAUGGCAUAAGCUAGCUUGACUGCGAGAGUGACGGCUCGAGCAGGUGCGAAAGCAGGUCAUAGUGAUCCGGUGGUUCUGAAUGGAAGGGCCAUCGCUCAACGGAUAAAAGGUACUCCGGGGAUAACAGGCUGAUACCGCCCAAGAGUUCAUAUCGACGGCGGUGUUUGGCACCUCGAUGUCGGCUCAUCACAUCCUGGGGCUGAAGUAGGUCCCAAGGGUAUGGCUGUUCGCCAUUUAAAGUGGUACGCGAGCUGGGUUUAGAACGUCGUGAGACAGUUCGGUCCCUAUCUGCCGUGGGCGCUGGAGAAUUGAGGGGGGCUGCUCCUAGUACGAGAGGACCGGAGUGGACGCAUCACUGGUGUUCGGGUUGUCAUGCCAAUGGCACUGCCCGGUAGCUAAAUGCGGAAGAGAUAAGUGCUGAAAGCAUCUAAGCACGAAACUUGCCCCGAGAUGAGUUCUCCCUGAGCCUUUAAGGCUCCUGAAGGAACGUUGAAGACGACGACGUUGAUAGGUCGGGUGUGUAAGCGCAGCGAUGCGUUGAGCUAACCGAUACUAAUGAACCGUGAGGCUUAACCUU